rnacentral:rRNA from 1 species
GACGAACCAUCCAAACGUUAUUCGGAAUUACUGGGCUUAAAGGGUGCGUAGGCUGCGCAGAAAGUUGGGUGUGAAAUACCUCGGCUCAACCGAGGAACUGCGCUCAAAACUACUGUGCUUGAGGGAGACAGAGGUGAGCGGAACUUAGGGUGGAGCGGUGAAAUGCGUUGAUAUCCUAAGGAACACCGGUGGCGAAAGCGGCUCACUGGGUCUCUUCUAACGCUGAGGCACGAAAGCUAGGGUAGCGAACGGG